GAUGAACGCUAGCUACAGGCUUAACACAUGCAGGUCGAGGGGAAACGACAUUGAAGCUUGCUUCGAUGGUCGUCGACCGGCGCACGGGUGAGUAACGCGUAUCCAACCUGCCUCUGACCAAGGGAUAACCCGUCGAAAGUCGGCCUAAUACCUUAUGCAGUCGUCGGAAGUCAUCUGAUGACGACGAAAGAUUUCAUCGGUGAGAGAUGGGGAUGCGUCUGAUUAGCUUGUUGGCGGGGUAACGGCCCACCAAGGCAACGAUCAGUAGGGGUUCUGAGAGGAAGGUCCCCCACAUUGGAACUGAGACACGGUCCAAACUCCUACGGGAGGCAGCAGUGAGGAAUAUUGGUCAAUGGGCGAGAGCCUGAACCAGCCAUGUAGCGUGCAGGAUGACGGCCCUAUGGGUGGUAAACUGCUUUUAUGCGGGGAUAAAGUGAGGGACGUGUCCUUCAUUGCAGGUACCGCAUGAAUAAGGACCGGCUAAUUCCGUG
rnacentral:rRNA from 1 species